CCUGAGCGACACCGAGAUGGGGACGAAGGGAUGGAGCGUCCCCAAAAAUGUGUGACAGCUUGGGGACACCGGGGCGGGGACACCUGACAUUUUUGGGGGUGUCACCACAAGGGUGGCAAUUGUCACCAUCCCAUGACAUUUUUGGGGGUGUCACCACAAGGGUGGCAAUUGUCACCAUCCCAUGACAUUUUUGGGGGUGUCACCACAAGGGUGGCAAUUGUCACCAUCCCAUGACAUUUUUGGGGGUGUCACCACAAGGGUGGCAAUUGUCACCAUCCCAUGACAUUUUUGGGGGUGUCACCAAGACGGUGGCAAUUGUCACCCCCCCAUAUGGGUGUCCCCAAAGAGAGUGGCAAUUGUCACCUCCCUCAUGACACUUUUGGGGGUGUCCCCGAAGAGGGUGGCACUUGUCACCAUCCAUGUCAAUAUUUGGGGGUGUCCCCACGGAGGAUGGCAAUUGUCACCCCCCCCAUGUGUGUGUCCCCAAAAAGAGUGGCAAUUGUCACCCCCCCAUGUCAUUUUUGGGGGUGUCACCAAGAGGGUGGCACUUGUCACCCCCCAUAUGGGUGUUCACAAAGAGGGUGGCAAUUGUCACCUCCCUCAUGACAUUUUUGGGGGUGUCCCCAAGGAGGUGGCACUUGUCACCCCCCUAUGUCAUUUUUGGGGGUGUCACCACAAGGGUGGCAAUUGUCACCUCUCUAUGUCAUUUUUGGGGGUGUCACAAAGAGGGUGGCACUUGUCAUCCCACCAUACGGGUGUCCCCAAGGGGGUGGCACUGUCACCUCCACACCCGCUGUCACCGCACCCCCCCCCGGGUGCCACAAAGUGACACAAGUGCCACAAAGUGCCACAGAGUGACACGAGGUGACACGAGGUGACACCAAGUGACACCAAGUGACACCAAGUGACACAAAGUGACAGUAAGUGCCACAAGGUGACACAGAGUGACGCGAGGUGGCACCAAAUGACACAAAGUGGCACGAGGUGACACGAGGUGAGACAAGGUGACGUGAGGUGGCAGUAAGUGCCACAAAGUGACACGAGGUGACACAAAGUGACACAAAAUGACACCAAGUGACACCAAGUGACACUAGGUGACACAAAGUGACACAGAGUGACAUGAAGUGACACAAAGUGACACCAAGUGACACGAGGUAACACAAAGUGCCACAAGGUGACACGGGGUGACACAAGGUGACACGGGGUGACACAAGAUGACACCAAGUGACACCAAGUGACACCAAGUGACACAAAACGACACCAAGUGACACCAAGUGACACAAAGUGUCACCAAGUGACACUAGGUGACACAAAGUGACACAGAGUGACAUGAAGUGACACAAAGUGACACCAAGUGACACGAGGUAACACAAAGUGCCACAAGGUGACACGGGGUGACACAAGGUGACACGGGGUGACACAAGAUGACACCAAGUGACACCAAGUGACACCAAGUGACACCAAGUGACACAAAAUGACACGAGGUAGCACAAAGUGGCACGAGGUGACAUGAGGUGACAGUAAGUGGCACGAGGUGACACCAAGUGACACCAAGUGACACCAAGUGACACAAAAUGACACGAGGUAGCACAAAGUGGCACGAGGUGACAUGAGGUGACAGUAAGUGGCACGAGGUGACACCAAGUGACACCAAGUGACACGAGGUGACACAAAGUGCCACGAGGUGCCACGAGGUGACACGAGGUGACAGUAAGCGCCACGAGGUGACACCAAGUGACACAAAGUGACACAAAAUGACACCAAGUGACACCAAGUGACAUGAGGUAACACAAAGUGCCACAAGGUGACACGGGGUGACACAAGGUGACACCAAGUGACACCAAGUGACACAAAAUGACACGAGGUGCCACGAGGUGACAUGAGGUGACAGUAAGUGCCACGAGGUGACACAAAGUGCCACGAGGUGACACCAGGUGACCCAAGGUGACACCAAGUGACACCAAGUGACACGAGGUGACACAAAGUGCCACGAGGUGACACGAGGUGCCACGAGGUGACACCAAGUGACACCAAGUGACACGAGGUGACACAAGGUGACACGAGGUGACACCAAGUGACACAAGGUGCCACGAGGUGACACGAGGUGACAGUAAGUGCCACGAGGUGACACGAGGUGACACAAGGUGACACAAAGUGCCACGAGGUGCCACGAGGUGACACGAGGUGACACGAGGUGACACCAGGUGACCCAAGGCGCCCCCUGGGGCCGGGGGAGGGGACAGCGCCAGGUGCCACCCCCGGCCUCACUUUGGUACCGAGAACAGAAAUCGUUAAUUCCAACAACAACAGCAACGACAAUCGUUAAAAACGAAACCAAUUAAAAACCUGCUGCUGGCAGUGGGGGAUGGGCGCGGUGUCCCCAAGGCCACCAGGACUUGGGGACAAGGAAAGGGGGGCGGGGACUCAGCGAAGCCAAAACCUCAGCAGGGA
rnacentral:lncRNA from 12 species